AACGCACGAGACCUGCGGACCUGCGGAGGGAUCAUUAAUGGAAUGAAGGGGGGUUGUCGCUGGCUGUCUAACAGUAUGUGCACGCCUCCCUAAUUAUCCAACUACACCUGUGCACUAUUGGGAGUGUUCUGGAUGGGGUCAAACCCUGAAAGACGCUCUGUCUUUACACACACGCAUACAAGUUCAGAAUGUAUUUGAGAUAUAUGGAAAUAAAACAACUUUCAACAAUGGAUCUCUAGA
rnacentral:misc_RNA from 1 species